ACUACUCGGCCUUAGACACAUCCCACCAGGUCCUGGACCAGCUGUUUACUAGGUCUUGUCAUCCACCGUCCAUCCCAAGGGAUGCCCUCAUAGCCUCCUUGACAUCUGGAGGCAUCUCCCCUUAUUCCAGCCAGGAGGGCAGAGCGCAGGACCACCUAAAAAAUGCCAUCUCUUCUCUGGUGGAAACCUGCC